AGAUGCUUGGCUCUGGGAAGAGGCGUGGAGGAAAUGUCUGACAGAUUUGCACCACAGAGAGCAGUGCUUGCUUGGAGAAAUUGCUGUCUAACUGAUCCUUUGUGGACUUCCGACCAAAACCAUCCAGUGCAACAUAUGGUUCCUACGUGCCUUUUUCGGUGUUUUCAGCAAGCUAACGGAAACACAUUCCGUAUCUUCAAGGCAAGACGGUGAGGUUUUAGAGUUCCCUUGACUAGUAACAACAGAGAAUUUUAGAGUUCUACAGCAGCCAAAUGCCAGCACAUCUCCACAUCUCAACUUCACC